CCACCCUGCAGAGCCUGCGGCACCCCGGGAUCGUGAACCUGGAGUGCAUGUUUGAGACACCUGAGAAAGUGUUUGUGGUGAUGGAGAAGCUGCAUGGGGACAUGUUGGAGAUGAUCCUGUCCAGUGAGAAGGGCCGGCUGCCUGAGCGCCUCACCAAGUUCCUCAUCACCCAGAUCCUGGUGGCUUUGAGACACCUUCACUUCAAGAACAUUGUCCACUGUGACUUGAAACCAGAAAACGUGUUGCUGGCAUCAGCGGACCCAUUUCCUCAGGUGAAACUGUGUGACUUUGGCUUUGCGCGCAUCAUUGGUGAGAAGUCGUUCCGCCGCUCAGUGGUGGGCACGCCGGCCUACCUGGCGCCCGAGGUGCUGCUCAACCAGGGCUACAACCGCUCGCUCGAUAUGUGGUCGGUGGGCGUGAUCAUGUAUGUCAGCCUCAGCGGCACGUUCCCUUUCAACGAGGACGAGGACAUCAAUGACCAGAUCCAGAAUGCUGCCUUCAUGUACCCGGCCAGCCCCUGGAGCCACAUCUCAGCUGGAGCCAUUGACCUCAUCAACAACCUGCUGCAGGUGAAGAUGCGCAAACGCUACAGCGUGGACAAAUCUCUCAGCCACCCCUGGUUACAGGAGUACCAGACGUGGCUGGACCUCCGAGAGCUGGAGGGGAAGAUGGGAGAGCGAUACAUCACGCACGAGAGUGACGACGCACGCUGGGAGCAGUUUGUGGCAGAGCAUCCGCUGCCUGGGUCUGGGCUGCCCACGGACAGGGAUCUCGGUGGGGCCCGUCCACCACAGGACCACGACAUGCAGGGGCUGGCGGAGCGCAUCAGUGUUCUCUGAGGUUCUGUGCCCUCGUCCAGCUGCUGCCCUCCACGGCCGUUCUUCACAGGAUCCCAGCAGUGAACUGUUCUAGGGAAAGUGGCUUCCUGCCCAAACUGGAUGGGACACGUGGGGAGUGGGGUGGGGGGAGCUAUUUCCAAGGCCCCUCCCUGUUUCCCCAGCAAUUAAAACGGACUCAUCUCUGGCCCCAUGGCCUUGGUCUCA
rnacentral:sRNA from 1 species